CUACCACAGCUCAUUCAACCAUAACGACGACGCUUUCUCUCUUCUUCUUCAAUUACAACUUUACUUCCAUUAUUAUUAAAUUUAGUCUUAAUACGUCAAACGCCCAUUGUUUGUUUCUUCCCAAUCCCUAUAUAUCAUCUAAAUCUGAAAACAUAUUUUUUUUCUUUUUCUUUCUGGAAUUUCAUCAAACACAUUGAAGAAGAGGAAGGAGGCUUAUUUAGAGACAACAUGGGCAGACCUUGUAACAAAUAAAUAGAACCAGGAACAGAAUACUUGAUUAAAAGAAUAAAGAACAGAAUAAGAAAACUACUGCUUUAUUGCUCACUUAAUUAAAUGAAAAAGUGAAGUACAAGAAGAAGAAGAUGGACUCUUUACUUAUACUACUUGGUAGCAUAAAAAGCUCCUAAAGAAACUUAACUACUGCGACUCAUACUAACAAACUGAAGACUCAAUCAGACGCUCCUAGAAUUAUGGUUGACCAGUUCAUUCUCCAUAGAAAUAGGAUGCACUAACUUGUAACACUCCCCCUUAGUGCAGACUUUCGAUCAACAAUACCAAGAGCACUGCGAAAAUUUUCAAACUUAGCUCGUGGAAGAGCUUUAGUGAACACAUCAGCCACUUGAUCAUUGGUCCUUAUCUUCUGCAGCACGAUCUCUUGAUUGAGCACCUUUUCUCGAACAAAAUGAUGAUGAAUUUCUAUGUGUUUUGUACGAGCAUGAAACACUGGGUUGCCUGCUAACCUGAUUGUGCUUUCAUUGUCGCACUUAAUGGGAAUUUGAUGACUCAUAUUAGUGCCAAUAUCUUGAAGAAGUCGCUUAAUCCAAAUGCAUUCUUGUGUGGCAGUAGUGGCUGCCGCAUACUCGGCCUCUGUGCUUGAAAGAGAAACAGUUUGCUGCUUCUUACUACACCAAGAAAUUACAGCAGAGCCAGUAUAAAAACAAUACCCUGAUGUCGAGCGUCGAUCUACAACAUCUCCAGCCCAAUCAGCAUCUGCAUAACCAUGUAGAGAAAAGGAUACAUCUGACUUAUAGAAGAGACCAAACUCCAGAGUACCUUUCACAUAUCGAAGAAUUCGCUUUGCGACGAUUAAAUGACCAACACAAGGACUAUCCAUAAACUGAGAUACAACUCCAACAGCAUAUGCUAUGUCAGGCCUUGUUAUGGUUAGAUAGAACAGACUGCCGACAAGCUGACGAUACUUUGUGAUAUCAUCCAGUGGCUCUCCUUCAAUUUUCUGCAACUUAAGUUGUGGUUCCAUAGGAGUGGAUAUUGGCGUCGAAUCUCUCAUGCCAAAACGAGUUAGCAAACUUGUGGCAUAAGAUCCUUGAGAAAGAAAGUAUCCAUCUGUUUUGACAAUUUCUAACCCAAGGAAAGAAUGAAUUUCUCCCAAGUUUUUCAUUUCAAACCGGAUGGACAACUCAUCACAGAGAUGUAAAAUUUCAGCAUUAUUAUCACCAGUGAUAAUCAUAUCAUCCACAUAAAGAAGAAGUAUAGUGUACUUGGAUGAAGUAAUCUUCACAAAUAAACUAGGAUCUGAACUUGAAGAAUUGAAACCACAAAAAGAAAGAUAUUGUGCAAUUUGACCAUACCAUGCGCGCGGAGCUUGCUUUAGGCCAUACAAUGCUUUUUUGAGUCGACACACAUGAUGAGGAAACUCCUGUGAAAUAAAGCCCUGGGGCUGCUCCAUAAAAAUUUCACGAUCCAACUCACCAUAUAGAAAUGCAUUUUUUACAUCUAGUUGCCAUAGAUUCCAUCUGUUGCACGCAGCCAAUGAAAUAAUAGUUCGUACAGUCACCAUCUUGGCAACCGGACUGAAAGUUUCUUCAUAGUCCAGUCCGUAUUGUUGAGAAAAUCCACGUGCAACCAGGCGAGCUUUAUAUCGAUCAAUUGACCCAUCAGCCUUCUUCUUUAACUUGUAAACCCAUUUACAUGUUACUAAUUCAACAUUCUGAGGCUUUGGUACUAGUUCCCAUGUACCAUUUUUAUGCAAAGCCUCAAUUUCUUCAGUCAUAGCAGUUUCCCAUUCAGCUGUUCCUUGAGCCUCUCUAUAACACUUAGGUGCAUCAUCACAUGCUAAUCCCAUAAAGAAACAAGAUGUCACCUGAGAGUAAUUUAGGUGAACCUCAUAGUCAGUGAGAUAAUCAGGUUGCCUUCUUUCCCUUGUGGAUCUUCGAAUAGUUGCUGCAUCUGGCUGAACUGGUGCUUCAAAAGAUGAGCUAGUGCUCCCCCUUUCUCCGCAAACAGUGCCACUAGAGAGUGGCUCAAGUGUGACAGUUUGACUCUUCUCAAGAACAGGAAAGUAUGACAACACCUCGUCAAAGACCACAUCACGAGAGAUAAUAAAUUGUUUUGUUUCUGGAUCCAUACAUCGCCAACCUUUUCUUCUGGUGUCAUAGCCAACAAAAACACACUUUCGAGCCUUGGGAUCGAGUUUAGUUCGACUAUUUUUAGAUACAUGAACAUAACAUAGUGAACCAAAUACCCGAAAAUAACUUGCAGUUGGCUGAAUGUUAUAGAGAGCUUCAAAAGGAGAUGCAUCUUUACCUGGCCAAGGUGGCAACCGAUUGAUGACAUGACAAGCACAUUGAAUAGCUUCUGCCCACAACUCCUUCGGUAGAUUUUUGUCAUGCAACCAAGACAAACAUACAGCAGUAAGAUGUGCUAACUUCCUUUCAGCUACGCCGUUUUGCUGGGGUGUAUUUGGGCAUGUCAGUUGCCUGUGAAUCCCAUGUUUCUCACAGUAUGUAAUAAAUUCUUCAGACAAGUAUUCACCUCCAUUAUCAGUACGCAAACACCUUAUAUUCUGGCCAAACUCCUGCUCCACUUGCAUCUUAAAUUUAAUGAAUUGAGAAAAAGCUUCACUUUUCUGUCGUAAGAAGUAAACCCAAGUAAAUCGAGAGAAGUCAUCCACCAUGAUCAUUGCAUAUUGGAAUCCACUGUAACUUGGUGUUCUUGUAGGCCCCAUUAAAUCUGAAUGAAUUAAUUGAAGCACACUCGAUGCACGAUUCGUUGAUUUCUGGAAAGGAAGCCGAUGCGAUUUGCCAUAUUGGCAACCAGCACAUAUUACAUUUGUAUUUAAAUCCUUGAAGACAGGAACACCAUCAAGCAGAUUCUUUGUGGAAAUCUGUUGUAACAACUGAUAGCCAAUGUGGCCUAGCCGAGCAUGCCAAACUGAGGGACUUGUAUUCUUGCUUGUCUUUUGAAUAUAUGCUUCACUGGCAGAUAAGACAUAUAAAGAAUUCUUUUUUGUUCCAGUGAAAAGGACAUCAGCAGCAACAUAUUUCAAAUUAUCAAGAAUCUGAACAUUAUUUGGGCCAAACAAAACAUACUUACCAGUGUCCGUUAUUUGAGAAACUGAUGCAAGAUUCUUCUUAAGACCUGGAACAUGAUAAACAUCCUUGAGAGAGACACGUUCAUCAUCAUUUGAACGAUCAACAUUGAAAUUUCCUUCCUUCAUUACAGGAUGCAAGGAAUUGUCAGCAGUCACAAUAACUCGCUUUCCCUCAUGUGGUCGAACAUCUGAAAGUAAGGUAGCAUCGCCUGUGGCAUGAUGUGAACAACCCGAGUCAACAAUCCACUCCUUCUCAUAAUCAAUAGAACCAGUAACAUCAUUUGGGUGCAUUGCGGAGGCCAUAUCUUCUGGUUGAUCAAUAACCUCAAUAGAGAAACAUUGCUCCCAUUUUGGAUCAUCAGACUCUUUAAUUUCAUAAGUUGUAUUUGCGUUUUCGUCACGAAGCUUUACUCGACAAAAUUUCUUGAUAUGACCUGAUUUACCACAUCGAGAACAAGUCACCUUCACACGGCAAUCACGCUUGAAGUGGCCCUCCUUUCCGCAUCUAUAGCAAGUUCUAGAACUGUCCCGCAUGUCCCCCUCACUUCCAAACCGCUUGGAUGGAGACCUGUUGUUUCCCUGAUCUUUAGUGUAAAGAACAUUAUCUUCUUGAGAGAGAGGUUUGUUGGUCAUUUGUUUCUCCAAAGCUUCCUGAUUUGAUAGUAAAUUUUCUAACUGAAUGAUGGAAGGCUGAUCUGCCCACCCUUGUACUGACGAAAUAAAUGGCAUGAACUCUUUCCUCAAACCACGGAUAAGAUAACGACGCAGGCGUGCAUCGCUGAUAGGCUCCUCUGAAUCUAACUCUGAAACUUCAGAACAUAAAGUUUUAACUUUCACAAAAUACUCUGGAAUUGACAGAUUACCUUGAAUCAUUCCAGCAAGUUCGUUCUCCAGAAACUGCAGCCUCAUUGUAUUCUUUUGAGUAAAUAAUCUUUCAAGUGUCUCCCACACUUGCUUUGGUGAAUUCAUCUCACGAACAUGUUGAAUGUAUUCUUUGCUUAUCGAAGUCCUCAAAGCAAAUAAGGCUUUUCCGCACUUAAUCCUCCACUUUCGUCGGAGCUCGCUAUUUUGCGGAGUAUCUUCUGGAAUUACAGUUUCCACACCAAAGAUAAGCUCCCACAAGUCCUGCCCCUGUAAAUAGGCCUCCAUACACAGCUUCCAAUAACUGUAGUUAUCAGCAACCAACUUCUCAACAGCAACCUGAGAAGAACUACUUCCACCGUUCAUCUUAAAAGACUGAAAAAAUACUCCAAACAGCACAACACCUUCACUAAAUAACAACAAACACCUGGUGAACAAUAAAACCCCUGUUAUGAACCAAGCUCUAGAUACCAUGUAACAAAUAAAUAGAACCAGGAACAGAAUACUUGAUUAAAAGAAUAAAGAACAGAAUAAGAAAACUACUGCUUUAUUGCUCACUUAAUUAAAUGAAAAAGUGAAGUACAAGAAGAAGAAGAUGGACUCUUUACUUAUACUACUUGGUAGCAUAAAAAGCUCCUAAAGAAACUUAACUACUGCGACUCAUACUAACAAACUGAAGACUCAAUCAGACGCUCCUAGAAUUAUGGUUGACCAGUUCAUUCUCCAUAGAAAUAGGAUGCACUAACUUGUAACAGACCUUUGUUUGCAUACUGCAGUGGCAUCAAAGGUGAGACUAUUUCAGCUAUUGAAGUAAAAGUUAUCACUAUUGGACUGAUACUUGCAAUGGAGUUGGGAUUCACCAGAGUUUGUGUAGGUUCUAACUGAAAACAAGCUUUAGAGAGCAUCAAUGGAAUUAUUAAAGGAUCAUGGAGAGCCAAGUUAUGCAACUAUGAGGAUAAAAUUUAUGUAUCUAUGGGUCCCUUUAGUGAGCACUUGGUAAAACUUCAAAACCAAGAAGUUGUAGGAGUUGUGUACACUAAACUGUACUCCAUAAUAGAAUUUUUACAAAAAAAAAAAGAGGAAAAAAACAUGUGCAUAACAACAACAAUUCUUCUUCUCUUUCUCAUCUCUCACUCUCCCAUUAAAACCCCAAACCAUCGUUCUCGCCCUCUCAAAGUUCGUUCUACUUUGAAUUUCAAUCCAACAUAUUUCUCAAUGAGAUUUGUAAAAUUGCUCAACCCCUUCCUCCAGCGUCAAAGAUUAUUGCAAUUACUAACUUCAAUCAAUUGUGUUCCACCAAGAAAAAACCUAACCACACCUAACAACCACCAACCUUUCUGAUUACCAACACCCACCACCACAAUCCUUUCUUCCAUCUUCAUCGAGCAGAUGAGGUAAAUCUUGUUUUUGAUUUGUUCGAUAGAUGCAUCAAAGAAGAAAACCCAAAUUCUAUUUCUAAUUCAAAUUUAAGGGUGUGUUUGUUUAAAAUGCUGAAUGCUGGAUACUGAAUGCUGGAUACUGAAUGCUGGAUACUGAAUGCUGGAUGCUUAAUGCUGGAUACUUAAUGCUGGAUGCUGAACACUGAAUGCUGGAAAAGUUGUUUGGUUAUAAUUUUUAAGUUGUUCUGUUUUUGAUUUGUUUGUUUAUGCAUAAGUGUGAUUUUGACCACGUUACCCUAUUAUUGGAAAAGUAUUUUAACAAUACACAAUACCUUAU
rnacentral:lncRNA from 1 species